GCUGCUCUUCCUCCCGGGGAAGGACUGCCCGUUCCAUGAUCUCGCCAUCACGGUUGACAACUCCCUUGUGUCCUCCUCCCAGAGUGCUAAGAACCUUGGCGUGAUCCUGGACAACACCCUGUCGUUCUCCACUAACAUCAAGGCGGUGACCCGAUCCUCUCCCGUACGGACUCGGGAGAGGCGACGGUUGAGAGCCAUGCGUCCUCCGAAACACAACCCAACCAAGCCGCACUGCUUCUUAACACAGCGCGCAUCCAACCCGGAAGCCAGCCGCACCAAUGUGUCAGAGGAAACACCAUACACCUAGCAACCUGGUCAGCGUGCACUGCGCCCGGCCCGCCACAGGAGUCGCUAGUGCACGAUGAGACAAGGAUAUCCCUGCCGGCCAAACCCUCCCUAACCCGGACGACGCUAGGCCAAUUGUGCGCCGCCCCAUGGGCCUCCCGGGCGCGGCCGGCUGCGACAGAGCCUGGGCUCAAACCCAGAGUGGCACAGCUACUGCGACCACUGCGCCACCCGGGAUGCCACAAAUGACAUCCCUUUAUGUUAUUUUCAAUUAGAUAUAAUAGACCAUAAUUGAAUAAUUUUGACCCCACCAGACAGUUACAAUACUUAGCAGUAUUUUCUUCAAACCCCUCACUAGUGAAAAUCCAUAAAUCUAUGCAAUAACCAAACCUUAAUUUCAGGCAAGUAGCCUUUUUUUUGCAUUGUUUUGGGUUCUGCUUUGAUUUAGCCUAAGUUAAUGCAUUAUGGAAUUGUAUGGACAAUCCAUAUCUGUUCUUUGUGUGUCCCUUAUGGAAGGUUCUAGUAGUUGAAACGCGUUGCAGUUGUUCGUCCUGAUGUUCUAGGCUGACUGCACCCAUAUGUAUUAUUUUGUAAAUAUAUUCUGUUAAUAGUUAACUAAAGUUUGUCGCAACAUCCCGACCGCCUACUCUUCUUCUUUCUUUGGAUUACCUGCCAUUUAGGAGUAAACCUUCCCACUGCCUUCAUCUCACCUUAUGGUGUGUUGAAAUAAAUAUUAUGUCUAACGUUACUUGUCUAACUUCCCUGGGCUAGGUCCCACCCUAGUCAACAGCCAGUGGAAUCGCGUGGCGCGAAAUAAUGCUAUAACUUCAAUUUCUCAAACAUAUGACUAUUUUACACCAUUUUAAAGACAAGACUCUCGUUAAUCUAACCACAUUGUCCGAUUUCAAAAAGGCUUUACAGCGAAAGCAAAACAUUAGAUUAUGUCAGGAGAGUACCCUGCCAAAAAUAAUCACACAGCCAUUUUCAAAGCAAGCAUAUAUGUCACAAAAACCAAAACCACAGCUAAAUGCAGCACUAACCUUUGAUGAUCUUCAUCAGAUGACACUCCUAGGACAUUAUGUUAUACAAUACAUGCAUGUUUUGUUCAAUCAUGUUCAUAUUUAUAUCAAAAACCAGCUUUUUACAUUAGCAUGUGAUGUUCAGAACAAGCAUACCCACCGAAAACUUCCGGUGAAUUUACUAAAUUACUCAUGAUAAACAUUGACAAAAUGCAUAACAAUUAUUUUAAGAAUUAUAGAUACAGAACUCCUUUAUGCAAACGCUAUGUCAGAUUUUAAAAUGGCUUUUCGGCGAAAGCACAUUUUGCAAUAUUCUGAGUACAUAGCUCGGCCAUCACGGCUAGCUAUUUUGACACCCACCAAGUUUGGGACUCACUAAACUCAGAAUUACUAUUAGAAAAAUUGGAUUACCUUUGCUGUUCUUCGUCAGAAUGCACUCCCAGGACUUCUACUUCAACAACAAAUGUUGUUUUGGUUCGAAAUAAUCCAUAGUUAUAUUCAAAUCGCUCUGUUUUGUUCGUGCGUUCAGGUCACUAUCCGAAGGGUGAUGCGCAUUUCGUGACAAAAGAUUUCAAAAUAUUCCAUUACCGUACUUAGAAGCAUGUCAAACGCUGUUUAAAAUCAAUUUUUAUGCGAUUUUUCUCGUAAAAUAGCGAUAAUAUUCCAACCGGGCAACGUUGUAUUCAUUCAAAGGCUGAAAGAAAAAAAUGGAGAAUUCUCGUGAACGCGCAUCUCCAGUGUCACUGUCCCCAGGCUGACCACUCACAAAUUCUCCUGCUGUUCUUCGCCCAGAGACAGCAGACACCCCAUUCCACUUUCUGGCGGCUUUAGAGAGCCAAUGAGAGCCUUAGAAAGUGUCACGUUACAGCACAUAUGCUGUAUUUUCGAUAGAGAUGCAACAGAAGGACAACAAAUUGUCAGACAGGGCACUUCCUGUAUGGAAUCUUCUCAGGUUUUGGCCUGCCAUAUGAUUUCUGUUAUACUCACAGAAACCAUUCAAACAGUUUUAGAAACUUCAGAGUGUUUUCUAUCCAAAUAUACUAAUAAUAUGCAAAUAUUUGACUCUGGGCCCGAGUAGCAGGCAGUUUACUCUGGGCACGCUUUUCAUCCGAACGUCAAAAUACUGCCCCUUAUCCCAAACAGGUUAAAGUUGGUUGCCAACCGCCAUAUAAAAUCCUCAGAAGAAGAAGAAGGUGGAAAGGUGAUACCCUGGUGCCAUGGUAAUAAUAAAUCAUGGUGUAUAGUUUAUUCAGUGAUGUACAGGACUGGACUUUGAAAUGUUUGUAAUUCCAGUUACAUGAUUGAAGCUUAAAAUAUGUCUAUAAUUGAAGUUAGCCUAUUUGAUUGAAGCUUGAGCUUUUUAAUGAACUGUGAAAUUAUUGACGCUGGAGACAUGUAUUUUGAUAAUUAAAUAGUCUUGUUUGAAAAGCAUUUGUCAUGGUAUUCUUCUCAGGUAGAACAGUAUAUCAAUCUAUUGUACAUCACAGAAAUACAGGGUUCUCCCUUAAGCAUUACAGUGGCUGUGUACAUUGAGGGUUAGACAAAUGGAUAAAUGCUUACAAUAAACAAUUCUUCAUUCAUUCCCAUAUAGUGGAAGUGGGUAGGGCCACAAGAUAAGUGUUCUUUAAAAAAGUAGCCCUUGGAAAGUUGAGUACAGCACAUACAAACCACAGCUGGUUAACUGAACUGGCGAGUGUCAGGGGGAUCACGCUAUCAAAUAUGUCUUCUAAGCCUGGCAAUCAGCUUUCAGGGUGUCAGUCUUUAACCCCAGUGUACAACAUGAUGAACCUGGGAUCACACUGGAAACUGAAUGGUUGACUUCUUCGUGAGUCAUUCUCCUUUGCCAGCCAAUCUAUUUCAUCACGCACUGCCUCCAGCUGCUCUUCUGUAGGAAGGGGCUUCUGUGUAAUCAUGCUUUGGGAAUAGCAGCUCUGCAACCUGGUUGGAACUGAAGAUAAGCUGUCACGAUAUUUGUGAACUUGUAUUUUCUGGUAAUGUAAAAGAAGUGGGGAUAAUGUAGGAUAAUUAGCCUAAUAUUAUAACAGAGAUCGGCAGGUGUAAAAUAGUUUACCAUUUUUUAAAUGUCAGUCAAU
rnacentral:lncRNA from 1 species